rnacentral:rRNA from 1 species
UACGGAGGGUGCGAGCGUUACUCGGAAUUACUGGGCGUAAAGAGCGCGUAGGCGGCCUCUCAAGUUUGGCGUGAAAUCUUAGGGCUUAACCCUGAAAGGGCACUGGAAACUGGGCGGCUUGAGUGCAGGAGAGGAGGGGGGAAUUCCCGGUGUAGCGGUGAAAUGCGUAGAUAUCGGGAGGAAUACCGGUGGCGAAGGCGGCUCUCUGGACGGUAACUGACGCUGAGGCGCGAAGGCGUGGGGAGCAAACAGG